CCCAGUGAACGGCGGCCGUAACUAUAACGGUCCUAAGGUAGCGAAAUUCCUUGUCGGGUAAGUUCCGACCUGCACGAAUGGUGAAAUGAUUUGGGAGCUGUCUUGGCUGGAGACCUGGUGAAGUUGUAAUGUCGGUGAAGAUACCGACUACCUGCAGUAGGACGGAAAGACCCCGUGGAGCUUUACUGUAGUUUGGCAUUGGGUUUUGGCUGUGUGUGUAUAGGAUAGUUGGGAGACUGUGAAGUUAAGGCGUCAGUUUUAACUGAGUCGUCGUUGGAAUACCAACCAUAUGCCGUUGAAAUUCUAAUCUGGUAACGGAGACAGUGCUAGAUGGGCAGUUUGACUGGGGCGGUCGCCUCCAAAAGAGUAACGGAGGCGUUCAAAGGUUCCCUCAGGCUGGAUGGAAAUCAGCCUAAGAGUGCAAACGCAUAAGGGAGCUUGACUGCAAGACUGACGGGUCGAGCAGGUACGAAAGUAGGAGUUAGUGAUCCGGCGGUUCCGUAUGGAAGGACCGUCGCUCAACGGAUAAAAGCUACCCCGGGGAUAACAGGCUGAUACUUCCCAAGAGUCCAUAUCGACGGAAGUGUUUGGCACCUCGAUGUCGGCUCGUCUCAUCCUGGGGCUGGAGAAGGUCCCAAGGGUUGGGCUGUUCGCCCAUUAAAGAGGCACGCGAGCUGGGUUCAGAACGUCGUGAGACAGUUCGGUCCCUAUCCACUGCAGGCGCUUGAAUACUGUAAAGAUCUGACCUUAGUACGAGAGGACCGGGUUGGACAGACCUCUGAUGUAUCAGUUGUCACGCCAGUGGCAUGGCUGAGUAGUCACGUCUGGAACGGAUAAUCGCUGAAAGCAUCUAAGCGAGAAGCCGUCUUUGAGAUGAGUAUUCGUAGUAUCCAUGGAGAACACAUGGUUGAUAGGCCAGAGGUGUAAGUGCAGCAAUGCAUUCAGCUGACUGGUACUAAUAUUACAUCUGCUUUUUAGU
rnacentral:rRNA from 1 species